rnacentral:misc_RNA from 1 species
UACGGAGGGUGCAAACGUUGCUCGGAAUCAUUGGGCGUAAAGCGCACGUAGACGGUUCGUUAAGUCGGAUGUGAAAGCCCCGGGCUCAACCCGGGAAGUGCAUUCGAAACUGGCGAGCUUGAGUACGGAAGAGGGUCUCGGAAUUCCCGGUGUAGAGGUGAAAUCCGUAGAUAUCGGGAGGAACACCAGUGGCGAAGGCGGAGACCUGGGCCGAUACUGACGCUGAGGUGCGAAAGCGUGGGGAGCAAACAGG